UACGAAGGGUGCAAACGUUGCUCGGAAUUAUUGGGCGUAAAGAGCUCGUAGGCGGUGUGUCACGUCGUUCGUGAAAACCUGCAGCUUAACUGUGGGCGUGCGGUCGAUACGGGCAUCACUGGAGUUCGGCAGGGGAGACUGGAAUUCCUGGUGUAGCGGUGAAAUGCGCAGAUAUCAGGAGGAACACCGGUGGCGAAGGCGGGUCUCUGGGCCGAUACUGACGCUGAGGAGCGAAAGCGUGGGGAGCGAACAGG
rnacentral:rRNA from 1 species